GUAGGGAAUAUUGCACAAUGGAGGAAACUCUGAUGCAGCGACGCCGCGUGAGUGAUGAAGGCCUUCGGGUCGUAAAGCUCUGUCGCAGGGGAAUAACACAAUGAAGGUACCCUGUAAGAAAGGAUCGGCUAACUUCGUGCCAGCAGCCGCGGUAAGACGAGGGAUCCUAGCGUUGUUCGGAAUCAUUGGGCGUAAAGCGGAUGUAGGUGGCUAUGUAAGUCAGAUGGGAAAGCCUGGGGCUCAACCCCAGAAGUGCAUUUGAUACUGCGUAGCUUGAGUGUCGGAGAGGUUACUAGAAUUGUUGGUGUAGUGGUGAAAUACGUAGAUAUCAACAGGAAUACCGGAGGCGAAGGCGGGUAACUGGCCGAACACUGACACUGAGAUCCGAAAGCGUGGGGAUCAAACAGGAUUAGAAACCCGUGUAGUCC
rnacentral:rRNA from 1 species